GACGAACGCUGGCGGCGUGCCUAAUACAUGCAAGUAGAACGCUGAAGAGAGGAGCUUGCUCUUCUUGGAUGAGUUGCGAACGGGUGAGUAACGCGUAGGUAACCUGCCUUGUAGCGGGGGAUAACUAUUGGAAACGAUAGCUAAUACCGCAUAACAAUGGAUGACACAUGUCAUUUAUUUGAAAGGGGCAAUUGCUCCACUACAAGAUGGACCUGCGUUGUAUUAGCUAGUAGGUGAGGUAAUGGCUCACCUAGGCGACGAUACAUAGCCGACCUGAGAGGGUGAUCGGCCACACUGGGACUGAGACACGGCCCAGACUCCUACGGGAGGCAGCAGUAGGGAAUCUUCGGCAAUGGGGGCAACCCUGACCGAGCAACGCCGCGUGAGUGAAGAAGGUUUUCGGAUCGUAAAGCUCUGUUGUAAGUCAAGAACGGGUGUGAGAGUGGAAAGUUCACACUGUGACGGUAGCUUACCAGAAAGGGACGGCUAACUACGUGCCAGCAGCCGCGGUAAUACGUAGGUCCCGAGCGUUGUCCGGAUUUAUUGGGCGUAAAGCGAGCGCAGGCGGUUUGAUAAGUCUGAAGUUAAAGGCUGUGGCUCAACCAUAGUUCGCUUUGGAAACUGUCAAACUUGAGUGCAGAAGGGGAGAGUGGAAUUCCAUGUAUAGCGGUGAAAUGCGUAGAUAUAUGGAGGAACACCGGUGGCGAAAGCGGCUCUCUGGUCUGUAACUGACGCUGAGGCUCGAAAGCGUGGGGAGCGAACAGGAUUAGAUACCCUGGUAGUCCACGCCGUAAACGAUGAGUGCUAGGUGUUGGAUCCUUUCCGGGAUUCAGUGCCGCAGCUAACGCAUUAAGCACUCCGCCUGGGGAGUACGACCGCAAGGUUGAAACUCAAAGGAAUUGACGGGGGCCCGCACAAGCGGUGGAGCAUGUGGUUUAAUUCGAAGCAACGCGAAGAACCUUACCAGGUCUUGACAUCCCGAUGCUAUUUCUAGAGAUAGAAAGUUACUUCGGUACAUCGGUGACAGGUGGUGCAUGGUUGUCGUCAGCUCGUGUCGUGAGAUGUUGGGUUAAGUCCCGCAACGAGCGCAACCCCUAUUGUUAGUUGCCAUCAUUCAGUUGGGCACUCUAGCGAGACUGCCGGUAAUAAACCGGAGGAAGGUGGGGAUGACGUCAAAUCAUCAUGCCCCUUAUGACCUGGGCUACACACGUGCUACAAUGGUUGGUACAACGAGUUGCGAGUCGGUGACGGCGAGCUAAUCUCUUAAAGCCAAUCUCAGUUCGGAUUGUAGGCUGCAACUCGCCUACAUGAAGUCGGAAUCGCUAGUAAUCGCGGAUCAGCACGCCGCGGUGAAUACGUUCCCGGGCCUUGUACACACCGCCCGUCACACCACGAGAGUUUGUAACACCCGAAGUCGGUGAGGUAACCUUUUGGAGCCAGCCGCCUAAGGUGGGACAGAUGAUUGGGGUGAAGUCGUAACAAGGUAGCCGUAUCGGAAGG
rnacentral:rRNA from 1 species